GAUGAACGCUAGCGGCAGGCCUAACACAUGCAAGUCGAGGGGUAACAGGAGAAAGUUUACUUUCUUGCUGACGACCGGCGCACGGGUGCGUAACGCGUAUAGAACCUACCUUUUACAGAGGGAUAGUCCGAAGAAAUUUGGCAUAAUACCUCAUAGUAUUAUCGAUUGGCAUCGAUUGAUAAUUAAAGAUUUAUCGGUAAAAGAUGGCUAUGCGUCCUAUUAGCUAGUUGGUACGGUAACGGCGUACCAAGGCAACGAUAGGUAGGGGUUCUGAGAGGGAUAUCCCCCACACUGGUACUGAGACACGGACCAGACUCCUACGGGAGGCAGCAGUGAGGAAUAUUGGACAAUGGUGGCAACACUGAUCCAGCCAUGCCGCGUGCAGGAAGACGGCCUUAUGGGUUGUAAACUGCUUUUAUAUGGGAAGAACCGCAGGUACGUGUACCUGUCUGACGGUACCAUAUGAAUAAGCACCGGCUAACUCCGUGCCAGCAGCCGCGGUAAUACGGAGGGUGCAAGCGUUAUCCGGAAUCAUUGGGUUUAAAGGGUCCGUAGGCGGGUUAAUAAGUCAGGGGUGAAAUCUCACAGCUCAACUGUGAAACUGCCUUUGAUACUGUUAGCCUUGAAUGAUAUGGAAGUAGAUAGAAUGUGUAGUGUAGCGGUGAAAUGCAUAGAUAUUACACAGAAUACCGAUUGCGAAGGCAGUCUACUACGUAUUUAUUGACGCUAAUGGACGAAAGCGUGGGGAGCGAACAGG
rnacentral:rRNA from 1 species